rnacentral:rRNA from 1 species
UAGGGAAUAUUGGACAAUGGGGGCAAGCCCUGAUCCCAGCAAUGCCGCGUGAGUGAUGAAGGCCUUAGGGUUGUAAGCUCUUUACCCGGGUACGUGAUAAUGACAGUACCGGGAGAAUAAGCUCCGGCUAACUCCGUGCCAGCAGCCGCGGUAAUACGGAGGGAGCUAGCGUUGUUCGGAAUUACUGGGCGUAAAGCGCACGUAGGCGGCUAUUCAAGUCAGAGGUGAAAGCCCGGGCUCAACCCGCAGCAUGCUUGCAAUACUAGAUAGCUUGAAUCCAGGAGAGGUGAGUGGAAUUCCGAGUGUAGAGGUGAAAUUCGUAGAUAUUCGGAAGAACACCAGUGGCGAAGGCGGCUCACUGGAC